rnacentral:rRNA from 1 species
UACGGGGGGGGCAAGCGUUGUUCGGAAUUACUGGGCGUAAAGGGCCAGUAGGCGGCCAACUAAGUCGGAUGUGAAAUCCCCAGGCUCGACCUGGGAACUGCAUCCGAUACUGGAUGGCUUGAAUUCGGGAGAGGGAUGCAGAAUUCCAGGUGUAGCGGUGAAAUGCGUAGAUAUCUGGAGGAACACCGGUGGCGAAGGCGGCGUUCUGGACUGCAACUGACACUGAUGAACGAAAGCCAGGGGAGCAAACGGG